rnacentral:rRNA from 1 species
UACAGAGGGGGCAAGCGUUGUUCGGAAUUACUGGGCGUAAAGGGCGCGUAGGCGGCCUUCUAAGUCGAACGUGAAAUCCCCGGGCUCAACCCGGGAACUGCGUCCGAUACUGGAAGGCUUGAAUCCGGGAGAGGGAUGCGGAAUUCCAGGUGUAGCGGUGAAAUGCGUAGAUAUCUGGAGGAACACCGGUGGCGAAGGCGCA